UCUCCCAGAAAAAACUUCCCGCGCUGACUGCAGCAGACGUGGAGGACUUGAUUGGUGCUGAAGUUUUCCCCACACAGACGGUCAGCUGAGAAGGACUGAGCCUUCAAAACCAUGGAGCUCUAUUAUGUUUUAUUUUUUGCGGAAGCAAGAGCUGUUGGCCAUCUUCUACACUGCUGCCAUCCUCCUGCCUCCUCCCCUCUGGCGGACGCUACAAAUCCCUGCAGACA